UUACGGUCAAAUCACGCUGAAACACCGGUUCUCGUACGAUCACCGAAGUUAAGCAGCGUAGAGCCAGGUCAGUACUUAGAUCA
rnacentral:rRNA from 1 species